rnacentral:lncRNA from 1 species
CCCCCCCCCCCCCCCCCCCCCCCCCCCCCCCCCCCCCCCCCCCCCCCCCCCCCCCCCCCCCCCCCCCCCCCCCCCCCCCCCCCCCCCCCCCCCCCCCCCCCCCCCCCCCCCGGGGGCCCUGCCAGAGCCAUGCGGCCGAGCCGGGGCCGGGCCAGGGGCUCCCCGCAGAGCUGGUGCCGGGCCGAACGCCAGCGAGCCCGGACCGGGCCGGGGCCCCGGCCAGAGAGCACCGCACCUCCAGAGGCCGGAAGCAGAAAGACGGCCAAGUGCAAGCAAAAGAUGGAUGUGUGCAUCCUUCUGAAAAAUGCU